CACUCCUGCGGGAGGCAGCAGUGGGGAAUAUUGCACAAUGGGCGCAAGCCUGAUGCAGCGACGCCGCGUGGGGGAUGAAGGCCUUCGGGUUGUAAACUCCUUUCGCUAGGGACGAAGCUUUUUUGUGACGGUACCUAGAUAAGAAGCACCGGCUAACUACGUGCCAGCAGCCGCGGUAAUACGUAGGGUGCGAGCGUUGUCCGGAAUUACUGGGCGUAAAGGGCUCGUAGGUGGUUUGUCGCGUCGUCUGUGAAAUUCUGGGGCUUAACUCCGGGCGUGCAGGCGAUACGGGCAUAACUUGAGUGCUGUAGGGGUAACUGGAAUUCCUGGUGUAGCGGUGAAAUGCGCAGAUAUCAGGAGGAACACCGAUGGCGAAGGCAGGUUACUGGGCAGUUACUGACGCUGAGGAGCGAAAGCAUGGGUAGCGAACAGGAUUAGAAACCCCGGUAGUCCCAUGAU
rnacentral:rRNA from 1 species